rnacentral:rRNA from 1 species
GACGAACGCUGGCGGCGUGCUUGACACAUGCAAGUCGAACGGAAAGGCCUGCUUUCCCUUGUGGAUUGCGGGUACUCGAGUGGCGAACGGGUGAGUAACACGUGAGUGAUCUGCCCCCAACUUGGGUAUAAGCCUGGGAAACUGGGUCUAAUUCCCGAUAGGACUGCAGGGUGGUGCCUGUGGUGGAAAACGAUUUUCUAGUGGUUGGGGAUGAGCUCGCGGCCUAUCAGCUUGUUGGUGGGGUAAUGGCCUACCAAGGCGGCGACGGGUAGCCGGCCUGAGAGGGUGGACGGCCUCAUUGGGACUGAGUUACGGCCCCGACUCCUACGGGAGGCAGCAGUGGGGAAUAUUGCACAAUGGGCGGAAGCCUGAUGCAGCGACGCCGCGUGGGGGAUGACGGCCUUCGGGUUGUAAACUCCUUUCGACCGCGAGGAAGCCACCUGGUUGGAAGGGUGGUGACGGUAGUGGUAGAAGAAGCACCGGCUAACUACGUG